GGAAAGAUGGCAGAGUGGUCGAUUGCGGCGGUCUUGAAAACCGUUGAACCGAGAGGUUCCCGGGGUUCGAAUCCCUGUCUCUCCG
rnacentral:tRNA from 6 species